UUUCUGUAAAACUGUAAAAUGUGGAUCAAAACAGAGACCAACUGGAAAAUCUGGAAAGAAAGGGAGUGACGAAUAAUCUUCACCGGAAAAACGCAGGCAACUUUCAGACUCCUCAUCAGCGCUUAUCGGCCACCGCACUUGGGCGGCACGUGAACUGGUUUUAGGUGUAACAAGAAGGCAGGUUUCUAUUGGAUGUGGCUCUAAAUCAAGAGACAAGGUUGUUAUUGUAGAGGAGAUGACUCUACAAAGUGUUUUUGACAUUCCGGAUAGAGCUUCGAAGUGCAGCGCAUAGGGUGAGAGAUGUAAAUAUGAUAUUUGAAUUGGGUUUGAGCUUGUGAAGCUUGAUAUUAGGACCUAACCAAGUCAUACUUGAUUUGUCCGGUUCUAUCUGUAUUUAUAGAAAAGUUUCCCUCCUUAUGGUUUAGAUGCUUCAAAAUUUGUAUUCUGUUCCCCAUUUACUACAAAUAGUUACUUCUUUAUAAAAGAAAAUUAUGCCUAAACUUAAUCGGUCAA